rnacentral:lncRNA from 1 species
AUGUAUGGUCAAAGAGCACAGCCAGGGCCAAGACGGAGGAUGGAGGACACGGUCGUUAGGGGUGUCCUCUUGAUGAGGGGGACAACAGAGCCAAGGCCUAGUAAUGAGGAAGAGCCGGCCAGCACCUCCCUGCUACUUCCUGGCAGCCCUGGAGACAGAAAGUUUCCUCCUUUUGGACAGAGACGGCCCAGGGUUGGCUUCAGAACGGAUAUCCGGCCCGCAAGACUCAGAAGCAGAGAAGGCAAAGGGUUCAUUGUUCCCUGGGGCCAAGCGGCCCAGUCCCCAGCCCAAAGGACAAGAGUGCAGACCCCAGGUGACGAGAGAACGUCCAUUUCCUGGCACGAGGGUUUUCGGAGAAAGCAAAGGAGCGGGACUGGGCCUAGAUCUGGAGUCUGAUGUUCAGAGCAUUAACAGAGGAAGGAUCUAGGAGUCCCAACAUAAAAAAGCCAGAAUUUGAACACACUUCCAUGCAGAGUUGGCGCUGGUCUGCCUGUUCCUCAUGAACACUCCACACUGCAGACUUGCUAUUACUCAGGCUAUCUGAGCGAGUCCAGCUGUAAUGAAGAUUGUUGGCUGGCGGGGCGGGCGCGCUGCAAGACGUUUUACUAGCACAGCGUGCCGCUUCCCACGCUCAGAUCCCUGCCGAGGCGCGAUCCGCGUGGACCCGCAGCCGGCUGGGGGCGCUCGGGCUGCGCCAACACCGAGGCAGGCGCCGAGUCGCCGCCGAGUCGCGGAGCCCUUCCCGCCUUCCAAGCAAACAAAGUGCAGCUCUGUGAGCGACUUGGCACGUGUGCGUGCGAGACAGCAGGCAGCGGCCGGGCGGGCGGGCGAAUGCCGGCUCCGGCGCCCAGCGGCUCACUCGUGGACCCACAGGGCCCCAGGUGGGCAGCGGGCUGACUGUACUCCCGCCUGAGCGACCCGGACCCCCACGGCUCCCGCCCUGUUCCCGCUUGGCCGGGGCGCUUCGCCUACCGCCGCCGUGGCCUGAGGACUCCGUGUUCCCGGCUCUGGACAGGGCGGGAAGGAGGCGAGCGGGCCCGCACCCCGGGACCGGAGGCUCCCGCGGGCCUGGGGUGCUUUUGACUAGCCUGCCGGCCGGGCGGCGGCCACCUCCGCUCUCGGCGCCGUGCAGGGCGUGUCUCCGGCGCCCUCAGUCGAGGGCCGGCCAGACUCUGCCUGCUGCCUCAGCUCGCCCCGCCCUGGCGCACCGAGGACUACGACUCCCAAUAGGCCUCGAGCCACUUGCGCCGAGGCGGGAGGCGCGUCCGAGCCUGCGCCUGCGUAGUGCGGCGGCCCGAGCCUGCGAGUACCACACCCCCGGGAGGGACGGAGGGGAGGCUGAAGCAUCCGAGGCAUUAAAGCAU